UACGGAGGUGGCUAGCGUUGUUCGGAAUUACUGGGCGUAAAGCGCACGUAGGCGGCUUUUUAAGUUUGAGGUUAAAGCCUGGAGCUCAACUCCAGAAUUGCCUUUAAGACUGCAUCGCUUGAAUCCAGGAGAGGUGAGUGGAAUUCCGAGUGUAGAGGUGAAAUUCGUAGAUAUUCGGAAGAACACCAGUGGCGAAGGCGGCUAACUGGACUGGUAUUGACGCUGAGGUGCGAAAGCGUGGGGAGCAAACAGG
rnacentral:rRNA from 1 species